CCUACGGGAGGCAGCAGUGAGGAAUAUUGGUCAAUGGCCGUAAGGCUGAACCAGCCAAGUCGCGUGAAGGAAGAAGGAUCUAUGGUUUGUAAACUUCUUUUAUAGGGGAAUAAAGGUAUCCACGUGUGGAUAUUUGCAUGUACCCUAUGAAUAAGCAUCGGCUAACUCCGUGCCAGCAGCCGCGGUAAUACGGAGGAUGCGAGCGUUAUCCGGAUUUAUUGGGUUUAAAGGGUGCGUAGGUUGUUUUUUAAGUCAGCGGUGAAAGUUUGUGGCUCAACCAUAAAAUUGCCGUUGAAACUGGAAGACUUGAGUGUGUUAGAGGUACGCGGAAUGCGUGGUGUAGCGGUGAAAUGCAUAGAUAUCACGCAGAACUCCGAUUGCGAAGGCAGCUUACUAAGCCAUAACUGACACUGAAGCACGAAAGCGUGGGGAUCGAACAGGAUUAGAUACCCGGGUAGUC
rnacentral:rRNA from 1 species